GAUGAACGCUGGCGGCGUGCCUAAUACAUGCAAGUCGAGCGAACGGACGAGAAGCUUGCUUUUCUGAUGUUAGCGGCGGACGGGUGAGUAACACGUGGAUAACCUACCUAUAAGACUGGGAUAACUUCGGGAAACCGGAGCUAAUACCGGAUAAUAUUUUGAACCGCAUGGUUCAAAAGUGAAAGACGGUCUUGCUGUCCCUUAUAGAUGGAUCCGCGCUGCAUUAGCUAGUUGGUAAGGUAACGGCUUACCAAGGCAACGAUGCAUAGCCGACCUGAGAGGGUGAUCGGCCACACUGGAACUGAGACACGGACCAGACUCCUACGGGAGGCAGCAGUAGGGAAUCUUCCGCAAUGGGCGAAAGCAUGACGGAGCAACGCCGAGUGAGUGAUGAAGGUCUUCGGAUCGUAAAACUCUGUUAUUAGGGAAGAACAUAUGUGUAAGUAACUGUGCACAUCUUGACGGUACCUAAUCAGAAAGCAACGGCUAACUACGUG
rnacentral:rRNA from 1 species